GGCAAAGCGGGCACGGGAGGAGGCUGGGGAUGAGAGGGCAGUGUCGGUUAAGUCGGAAGCGGAGUCUGGUGAGUCGGCGGAGGCUCAGAGCUGGGUUCUGUAGAGGCUGGCCAGAGUUGAAUAGGUUUGGUCUGCUUAUGUGUUAGUUUAUGAAGUUUUUAUGGUAAUUUGGUUGUAGUUUGGUCUAAACUAAUAUCUUAGUAGUAGGUUAUCAAAUGGAUUACUGAUCUUAAAUGAGAUGCUGUGGUGAGGAAAACUUUAUGGUGUUGUCGUGGAAGAAUUGGCUGCUCUUCU
rnacentral:misc_RNA from 1 species